rnacentral:rRNA from 1 species
AGAGUUUGAUCCUGGCUCAGGAUGAACGCUAGCUACAGGCUUAACACAUGCAAGUCGAGGGGAAACGACAUCGAAAGCUUGCUUUUGAUGGGCGUCGACCGGCGCACGGGUGAGUAACGCGUAUCCAACCUGCCCACCACUUGGGGAUAACCUUGCGAAAGUAAGACUAAUACCCAAUGACGUCUCUAGAAGACAUCUGAAAGAGAUUAAAGAUUUAUCGGUGAUGGAUGGGGAUGCGUCUGAUUAGCUUGUUGGCGGGGUAACGGCCACCAAGGCGACGAUCAGUAGGGGUUCGGAGAGGAAGGUCCCCCANAUUGGAACUGAGACACGGUCCAAAACUCCUACGGGAGCA